GACUGUACAAAGGUAGCAUAAUCAUUUGUUUUUUAAUUGAAAACUAGUAUGAAUGGUUUAAUGAAAAAUAUACUUUCUUUUAUAUAUCUAAAUAACUUAAUCUUUGAGUGAUAAAUCUUAAAUGAUUUUAUAGGACGAGAAGACCCUGUAGAACUUGAUUAUCAAAUAUAUAUUUAUAUAUAGAUAUAUAAUUUUAUUUAUAUUUUUGAUAAUUUUAUUGGGGUGAUAGAAAAAAAUUCUAAACUUUUUUAAUUUUUAUACAUUUAUAUAUGUAAAGAUCCUUUAAUAUGGAUAAUUAGAUUAAGUUACCUCAGGGAUAACAGCGUUAUUACUUUAUAGAGUUCUUAUCGAAGAAGUAGUUUGCGACCUCGAUGUUGGAUUAAAAUUAAUUUUAGGGGUAGAUUUUUAUUAGUUAAGUCUGUUCGACUUUUUAUUUUUUACA
rnacentral:rRNA from 1 species